GGCAUGCCACAUGAUAGAAGAGGCUUGGGGGGCCUUUAGUUACAAAAGGUUGAGAACCUCUGAUUUAGAUCAUAGCACUUGGGUUAAGUACUGUUGCUGGGUAUUGGGUAUUGUAUGGAUAUUGCAGGACAUUUUGCCAACGCUCAAUGCUACAGUCCAUUGAUGAUAUUAAGAUCACUGGCAGCUUAAUAGAAAUGCCAAAGACAAAGUAUUAAGAUGUCUGUGUCAAUAACGCUCAGGACAUACCACAGUAGUUCCCAAACUAUACACUGUAAACGAUUUCUCUUGUUUUCACAGUGUUAUUCUACUAUAUUUUCAUCUUUUUUUUUUUUUUUUUUUACUGUAAAAACGUUUACAGCAUGUUGCUUUUACAGUAUUAUUGCUGUAUUUUGUACUCUGGCGUACUGUAAAUUGUUUUUACAGUGACUUACUGUAAUUUAUUUUCUUCAAAAAAGAGUGUGAAAAUAAUUACAGUAAUAUUUUCAGUAAUAAUUACAGCAAUAUAUAGUAAUAAUUUGAACACAUGUAAUAUUGUGUAACGGGUAUGGAAAGUAUUCUAUACAUAUAAUAUACAGAAUUACACAAAAAAUGUAUACAUGAAGUGACUGUCUGUAUGUGUGCAUCUUCCCCUUUAAUUUUCUGACUGCAGCGUGUAAUGUUAACUUCCUGUCUUUGCACCACCUCUUCCCUUUCCGCACUGUGUUUACAUGGGAGAGGUAGGAUUUUAAUAAGCUCUGAUAAAUCCAAUUUCAUCUUUGCCCUAAAAAUCACUUUUAAAAUUAGCGUUCUUUUUCUAAAUCAUAUUUAUGACAUUAUUUGCCAUAUAUGAUUUAUUUCAUGUUUUCACUUUAAUUAAGGUUAUGAUUAGUUUUAUGCGUCAUCCAUGAACUUGAAAUUUAUUUUACAGAAAUGUUAAGGGCAAAAGCACACUGUAUGAGACUGUGUAAUCUCUUUGUCAGGCACUGCAGCCUUGGGGGCCAGGCCAGCAUCGCGGUCUGUAAUCUAAAUCCAUUGGACAAGAAAGGGUCAUGGGGAACCUGGAGCCUAUCCCAGGGAGCAUCGGGCACAAGGCGGGGUACACCCUGGACAGGGUGCCAAUCCAUCACAGGCCACACAAUCACACACACAUACACACACACACACCCAUUCAUACUCUAUGGACAUUUUAGACAUGCCAAUCAACCUACCAUGCAUGUCUUUGGACUGGGGGAGGAAACCCCCGCAGCAUGGGGAGAACAUGCAAACUCCACACACACACGGGAAUCGAGCCCCGAACCUGGCGGUGUGAGGCGAACGUGCUAAGCCACCGUGCACCCCAUUUAAUAGUCAUUGUAAUUUUAAAUAUAAUUGGUUACUUCGUAACGUGUACCUCAGAAAACAAUUUAGCUAGAUAGCAUUCGUUUAUACUACGGGCUUUCCAGUUAGUAUUAUAGUGAACUGUUUCUAGGUUUGAAUCAAAUUACAUUUUUUUUUCGAAAUCUUUUUGUGUAUUUACACUAGUUGACAACUUUCACCAAAUGAAUAAGGGACAUUCAUUCACAGGAACUGGUGUGUGCGUGCGUGCGUGCGUGCGUGUGUGUGUGUGUGUGUGUGUGUGUGUUUGUGUGCGCAUGUGUCAUAUCACAGCAAACCAGUGACUCCAUUUCCCAGGAGUUCACCUUUUCCGGAGUGCUAAUCAUACACACCUGUUACCAAUCUCACACACACUCACUCCACAGUACAUAGAGACUGUUUCAACACAGUGACUUGAAUACUUGAAUACUUCACCUCCUCUAUGGAUGCAGCAGGAGAGCGAGGAGAGCAUCACGCCAGUGUACAUAGGAAUGUCUGGCCACCAUUCAUGUCAGUCCGGUUUCCCCUUGUUUUUUAUUUUUAAUGAAUUUACAAAUAUUUCAACCAAACUUCUUUCACGUUGUCAUUAUGGGGUAUUGUUUGUAGAAUUUUGAGGAAAAUAAUUAAUUUAAUCCAUUUUGGAAUAAGGCUGUAGCAUAACAAAAUGUGGAAAAAGUGAAGCACUGUGAAUACUUUCCGGAUGCACUGUAUAUCUGCUAUCAUCGCUACAGUCUAAAAACCACCUAAGGCUAAGACGCAUGCAGCUUUUUUAUCAGAAUUUGCUGACUUCCUGUUAAUGUUGAGAAUGAAGUUUGACAGAAUUCUAAUUGUGGGAGAUUUUAACAUUCAUGUGGACCGGAGUGAUUCUGUGGUGGUUAAGGAAUUUCUGUCGCUACUUGAUUGUUUUAACUUCACACAGUUUGUAACUGACCCGACUCAUAACAAGGGCCACACCCUGGAUCUCGUGAUUGCAAACGGCUCGUUUGUAUCGCAGUUUUCAUCUGUUGACGUUUGGACCGUCAGGCCAUUCAGCUGUCUUCUUUAACCUGGAACUGUAUCAUCCAUGUGAGCCUACCAUCCGAACAGUAACCUUCCGGAAGUGGAAGUCUAUUGAUCAGACAGUUUUCUCCAAUUCGGUUGUUUCCACCUUAAGCGAUCUUCAUCCCUCAUCGCUGGAGGAGAAAGUCCUGCAUUUAAAUUCUGCUAUUGCUGCUAAUCUUGACUUGUUUGCUCCCCUAAGGUCCUGUAAGGUUACAUUCGCCCACUCUGUUCCCGGGUAUACUGACAAUCUGCGCUCUAGAAAUGGAGCGUAAAUGGCGCCUUACUGGCUUGAAUGUCUACUAUCAAGCGUGGAAGGAUCUUCUGGUUGAUUACAGAGCAUUAAUCCCAGACACUUGUUCCAAACCAUGAACAGACUGCUUCAAGUUAAUGUUGUUACCACUUUGCCUGUUUCUCAUGUAUGUUUUCUCUAUGUAAUUUUUUUUCUUCAGUUUUUUAAUUCUAAAAUUGAUAAUGUUAGCACAGAAAUUUCUGUUACACCUGAUGACACUUCACUCCUUCGUGCAUCUGGGUUCAAUGGCGUUUCUUUCACUCAUUUCUCACUGCUUGAUUCUGAGGCUCUCACAAGGGAGGUACCAGCAUGAAAUCAACCAUUUGCUUGCUUGAUCCAAUUCCCACAAACCUAUUUAAAUCAUGCUUCGAUGUUUGGUGCCCUGCUAUCCUCGGCAUUAUAAAUGAAUCAUUGGAGACUGGGGUCGUUCCAGCAGUACUAAAGACUGCUGCUGUUGCACCUGUACCAAAGAAGGAAAAUGUUGCCGUGGAUGAUUUUAACAAUUUUCGUCCCAUCUCAAAUCUUCCAUUAUUCGCAAAAAUACUAGAGCGUGUUGUUGCCUCUCAAUUGUGUAAUCAUCUUACAAUUAAUAACCUCUUUGAACCCCUUCAGUCAGGUUUUCAUAAAUCUCACAGCACUGAAACGGCAUUGGUCAGAGUUACCAAUGACUUGUUGAUGGCCUCUGAUUCUGGAGCUACAUCCAUUCUCAUUCUUCUUGAUAGAGAAGAGCUGCUUAGAGCUGCUUUCAAUACUGUGGAUCAUGGUCUUUUACUUACCUGCCUUGAACGUGUUUUUGGUGUUUCAGGGACAGUUUUAAACUGGUUUAAAUCCUAUUUUACUGACUGUUCCCAGUUUAUUUCUAUGGGUGGCUACAGGUCUGACACUAGCUCUGUGCUCACUGGUGUUCCUCAGGGAUCGGUUUUAGGCCCUUUACUUUUCAAUAUUUGUCUAUCUCCACUUGGGCAUCUGCUGUGAUUGCUUGGCCUCCAUUAUCACUUUUAUGCAGACGAUUCCCAAAUCUA